GGAUAGCCUUUCGAAAGAAAGAUUAAUACCCGAUGGCAUAAUUAGACCGCAUGGUCUUAUUAUUAAAGAAUUUCGGUUAUCGAUGGGGAUGCGUUCCAUUAGGCAGUUGGUGAGGUAACGGCUCACCAAACCUUCGAUGGAUAGGGGUUCUGAGAGGAAGGUCCCCCACAUUGGAACUGAGACACGGUCCAAACUCCUACGGGAGGCAGCAGUGAGGAAUAUUGGUCAAUGGGCGCAGGCCUGAACCAGCCAAGUAGCGUGAAGGAUGACUGCCCUAUGGGUUGUAAACUUCUUUUAUAUGGGAAUAAAGUUUUCCACGUGUGGAAUUUUGUAUGUACCAUAUGAAUAAGGAUCGGCUAACUCCGUGCCAGCAGCCGCGGUAAUACGGAGGAUCCGAGCGUUAUCCGGAUUUAUUGGGUUUAAAGGGAGCGUAGGUGGACAGUUAAGUCAGUUGUGAAAGUUUGCGGCUCAACCGUAAAAUUGCAGUUGAUACUGGCUGUCUUGAGUACAGUAGAGGUGGGCGGAAUUCGUGGUGUAGCGGUGAAAUGCUUAGAUAUCACGAAGAACUCCGAUUGCGAAGGCAGCUCACUGGACUGC
rnacentral:rRNA from 1 species